rnacentral:rRNA from 1 species
GACGAACGCUGGCGGCGUGCUUAACACAUGCAAGUCGAACGGAGUGGCGAACGGGUGAGUAACGCGUAAUCACCCUGCCCUUCAGAGGGGAACAACAGUUGGAAACGACUGCUAAUACCGCAUACUGAAGGAGGGGAGUGCGUCGGAUUAGCUAGUUGGAGGGGUAACGGCCCACCAAGGGGUUGACAAGUAGCCUGUUUGAGGAGGUGGACGGCAAAAUUGGGACUGAGAAACGGCCCAGAAGCCGACCGGGGGGAGGCGUGGGGAAUCUUUCGCAAUGGACGAAAGUCUGAAGGCGCAACGCCGCGUGAGUGAUGACGGCCUUCGGGUUGUAAAGCUCUGUUAAUCGGGACGCGGUACCGGAAUAGAAAGCCCCGGCUAACUACGUGCCAGCAGCCGCGGUAAUAC